rnacentral:rRNA from 1 species
GUAGUCCUGGCUUCAAACGAUGUGGGCUUGGUGUCGGCCCCCUACAGAGGGUCGUUGCCGGAGCUAACGUGUUAAGCCCACCGCCUGGGGAUUACGUCCGCAAGGAUGAAACUCAAGGGAAUUGACGGGGGCCCACACAACCGGUGGAGCACGUGGUUUAAUUCGAUGAUAAGCGAAGAACCUUACCAGGGCUUGACCUAGCGGUAGUAGGAUCCUGAAAGGGAAACGACCUCAAGCUUUGCUUGAGGAGCCGUGGCAGGUAUUGCGUGGCUGUCGUCAGCUCGUGUCGUGGGACGUUGGGUUAAGUCCCGUAACGAGCGCAACCCCUGCUCUUAAUUGCCAGCGGGUAAUGCCGGGUACUAUAAGGGGACUGCCGGAGAAUAUCCGGAGGAAGGAGGGGAUGACGUCAAGUCAUUAUGAUCCUUAUGCUCUGGGCGGCACACGUGCUACAAUGGGCACUACAAUGAGGAGCAAGUCCGCAAGGACGAGCAAAUCUCAAAAAGGUGCCCCCAGUGCGGAUUGGGGUCUGCAACCCGACCCCAUGAAGAUGGAAUCGGUAGUAAUCGCGGGUCAGCCAUACCGCGGUGAAUAUGUACUUGGGCCUUGUACACACCGCCCGUCAC